GGUGAACGCUGGCGGCGUGCUUAAGACAUGCAAGUCGAACGGCAGUCUUCGGACUGUAGUGGCGCACGGGUGAGUAACGCGUAACUGACCUACCCCAAAGUCGCGGAUAACGAAUCGAAAGAAUCGCUAAUACGUGAUGUGCUGUCAGAUUGUGUUCUGCCAGUAAAGAUUGAUUGCUUUGGGAUGGGGUUGCGUUCCAUCAGCUAGUUGGUGGGGUAAAGGCCCAACAAGGCGACGACGGAUAGCCGGCCUGAGAGGGUGGCCGGCCACAGGGGCACUGAGACACGGGUCCCACUCCUACGGGAGGCAGCAGUUAGGAAUCUUCCACAAUGGGCGAAAGCCUGAUGGAGCGACGCCGCGUGAGGGAUGAAGGUCUUCGGAUCGUAAACCUCUGAAUCAGGGACGAAAGACACUUCGGUGGGAUGACGGUACCUGAGUAAUAGCACCGGCUAACUCCGUGCCAGCCGCCGCAGUAAGAC
rnacentral:rRNA from 1 species